UACGUAGGGUCCGAGCGUUGUCCGGAUUUAUUGGGCGUAAAGAGCUCGUAGGCGGCUCAGUAAGUCAGAUGUGAAAACUCAGGGCUCAACCCGGAGACGCCAUCUGAUACUGCUGUGGCUUGAGUCUGGUAGGGGAUCACGGAAUUCCUGGUGUAGCGGUGAAAUGCGCAGAUAUCAGGAGGAACACCGGUGGCGAAGGCGGGUCUCUGGGCAGUAACUGACGCUGAGGAGCGAAAGCGUGGGUAGCAAACAGG
rnacentral:rRNA from 1 species